GCUAUCAUGGGCAAAAACCUUGCAGGUCACGACGUUUAAGAUUCGUUCCGGCCGGGACCGCAUACCGGUCUCCCUGCUGCCGGAUCCCGGGUCGGGACCUCCCCCGGUACUAGACCAUAGCUUAUCUCUUUUACCUUCUUUCCUUGUUGUACUACCCGACCGGGUUAACUAGCAAUCGCGAUCCUUUAAUCGCACCGUGAGCGUGCUGCCGGCGUAGAGCGUGCCCAGGUAGGACUAGCGAAGAAGGAGAGUUAGUGUUGAGAGAGAUUGGAUAAGGACGGUGGCGAGUCGGACGGCGUUCGGCGGCGUCGGCCGUCUGUCAAGAGAUGACACGACAGUAGCGGGUCGCGGGGGCCAGAGGUGAGAGGUCUGCGACGACUCGUGCCGCGUGUGGAUGUAGCUAAAGGUCUAGGGUGUCCUUCAGACGUAGCAUGGUAGCAGCUCACAGUCUGUGAUUACCACUAGGCUAGUUAGCGUC
rnacentral:rRNA from 1 species